rnacentral:lncRNA from 1 species
CUCUUAGGCUCGAGAGAUCCUCCCACUUCAGCCUCCCAAGUAGCUGGGACCACAGGUAUACAACACCAUGCCCAGCUAACGUUUAAAUUUUUUUGCAGAGACAGGACCUCCCUCUGUUGCUCAGGCUGGUCUGGAAUUCCUGGGUUCAAGUGAUUCUCCUGCUUUAUCCUCCCAAAGUGCUGUGAUUGCAGGCAUGUGCCACUGCCUGGCCCCAUAUAAGUGAGAUGAUGACUUUAGCCUAAAAGUUCCACACCAGCCUGGGUAACAUAGCACAAGACCCUGACUCUACAAAUCUAAAAACAUUAACUGGUCAUGGUGACACCUGCCUGUGGUCCCAGCUACUCCAGGAGGCUGAGGCAGGAGGAUAACUUGAGCCCAGGAGUUGAGGCUGCAGUGAGCUCUGAUCAGGCUGCAGUGAGCUCUUAUCCAUCUAUUCACCCGUCUAUCCAUCCAUUCACCUGUCCAUCCACCCAUCCUUUCGUCCUUCCAUCAUCUAUCUGUUUACCUGUUCAUCCAUCCAUCCAUCCAUCCAUCCAUCAUCAUCCAUCCCUCCGUCCAUCCAUCCAUCAUCCAUCCAUCCUUUUAUCAUCCAUCCAUUCACCUGUCCAUCCAUCCAUUCACCUGUUCGUCCAUCCAUCCAUCCAUCCUUCCAUCCAUCUUUCCAUUAUCCAUCCAUUCAGCUGUUCAUCCUUCUAUCCAUCCAACCAUCUUCCAUCCAUCCAUGAUCCAUCCAUUCACCCUUCCAUCCAUCCAUUCAACUGUUCAUUCUUCUAUCCAUCCAUCAUCCAUCCAUCCUUCCAUCAUUCGUCCACUUGCCUUGCUCAUCCUUCCAUU